UACGGAGGAUGCGAGCGUUAUCCGGAUUUAUUGGGUUUAAAGGGAGCGUAGACGGGUUUUUAAGUCAGCUGUGAAAGUUUGGGGCUCAACCUUAAAAUUGCAGUUGAAACUGGAGACCUUGAGUACGGUUGAGGCAGGCGGAAUUCGUGGUGUAGCGGUGAAAUGCUUAGAUAUCACGAAGAACCCCGAUUGCGAAGGCA
rnacentral:rRNA from 1 species